UUUGUCUGGCCCCUGCUUUUAGGUAGCCCCAAAAAGGCUACCAAAGGUUAAAAGAUUUUGUGGGUCUGACACAGGCCUGUCAGGCGGUCCCUGGAGCUGAGCCAGGCCCGAGUCCCGAGGCCUUGGGGACACAAAUGGAGGCCACGGGAGGACACGUGAGGCCUUGGAGUGGCUGCCAAGAACAGGGGCUAGACAAGAUUAAGAGAAUAAAAGCGUGGUGUUUAUUAAAGGCCUUCAAUAGGUACAGCUUGGGCUAUCAAAAGCCUCCCAGAGGCUGCACCCAAGAUGGACAAUGGUCACGAGUUUUUCAUAGAGUUAAAAGUUUGGUCCAUUUGCAUAUCAGGGGUUAAUCCUCCAACUCCAGCUUCAGGUAAUUAAGUAAUUUUCUCCAAGCAUUCCCCCCUCAAUUCACUGUUGUUUGCAUCUGAGGCAAUACGGUGUCCUUGAUUUUCAGGCCUAGAGAGGAAUUGUUUUGUCUGAAUAAAACAGGAGAACAGCAGCUGGCAGGGUGUGGAGUUUAGAAUUAUACACUAAAGCAGUACAGCGUCUGAAAAAUAUAAAACCUAAAUCCCAAGGCAUCAGAUGGACACCCUGAGACGCCCCAUCCUGUGGGAUGCUGCAGCCUGUACUGGGAGCCAGCUUUCCCCUUCUCCUUUACAGGGAUGACAUUAAAUAUCCAGUGCCACUGCAGGAGCUAGCAAUUCUUCACUGCUACAGCCAGAGGGACUGAUGAAUGAUGGACUGUUUUGUUGCCCACAAACAGCCUGCCGGGGUUCUGACAGGGGAAUCACACAAAAGCAGAGUGCAGAAAAGCUUUAAGAGAGAAGCCAAGAGUGAGAUAUAAUGGGAAAAACAGAGGCCUGCCUGAUUUUUCUAUAGUAGCUGUAACUGGGAUUAACCAGCCUUUUAUGGAAAGAAAUUUACUGUCAUCUUUGCUCAGAUAACUUAUAUCAUUGUUGGUUAAUUAUGGACACUUUCCUUGGUGCUGCCUGCUAUGCACUCUGGCUCCUCAAGCAUAACAUGCCUCUAAUCUCACAGCUAUUAUGCAAAUUUUCUUCCUAGCUGCAGGAAAGCCAUCGAGCAGCAGUGCUGGUGGGGGUUUCUUGGAGGUCUCUUUGCAAAACAUCUUAGGUUCAGUGCACAUGGAGUUGGUUCACUAGGCUGAACACAGAGCUUAGAGACUGGAGGAAAAAAAAAUCCCAUAUUGUUAAAAUAUUUUCCCUGAAUUUUACUAAAUUAAAACAGGUUUCUGCGGUGGUUUGUAAAUAGCCUGAGAUUUUUACACUCUCCUGGUUACAAAGACCAUUUAAACCUCUUUUUUUGAAUUGUGCGUGUUGCUUCCACCCCCGUGAGAAAGAAUAAAAAAAAAUCAACUGAUAACAGUUUCAGACUCAACAGGUAACAGCUGACUUUUGCUCACAUAAUAUUUUCUGGAUGAGACAUUGAAAGUUUUCCUGGUUUAAGGAAACCAUUCAUUCAAUCCUCAAGGAGUGCUUGGACCCUGCCCAAAAAUGGCUCAUAGAGUUUAGACCUUCCUUGGGCCUGGUGCUGACCAGUAGAAAAGAGGAAAUUCUCCCUUUUGAUUGAAGCAGUGGAUACCCCAAACACAAACUUGUGUGUCAGCUUCACUUGACUACGUGCCCUGUUGGUUCUGCAGGAGCCAUCUCCAGUGAAAGCAAAAUCCAACAUCUGAAGCACCAGUGUUCCAUCAGACCUGUGUUCUUCAGGCAGAGCCUAGCUACCAAAGACAGUGCAGCUUUGAAAUGACAGUUCUCUACACAAUCUGAUCCAUGGUUCUCUAUGAUUCGCAUUUCUGGGGAAAAAAAAAUCCUGCUGUGUAUUAUUUAGGAGCAAUCAGGACCAUUAUUCUAGUUUCUCUCAGCUGCCCAUUAAGUCUAAACUUUCCCUGGUCCCACCUUUUUUGUUGCUUUGCAUUUCCAGUCCUGGAUUUGGCUCUGAGAAAAGGCUGUGGGUAAAAUCCUGUGUCACAGCAGCAGAGCUUCUGUUGUGCCAGGCCUUUGGCUGGUCUCCUGGAGAUAUUUUUGGGCAAUGGCUUCAUGUACUCAUCUUGCACACGUGCUUCAGUCAGCCCGUCCUGAUGUGCUUGCCAUGCUGCCCGUGGAUGCCGCCAUCACAGGGUCAAUCCUGACAUCAUCCAAGGAAUGCUCUGUCUUUUCCACAGGAGAACAAUCUAACCCUGCGUUUCCUCACAUAUGGAGCAGGAAGGAGCAGCAUUUUAUCUUCACUGCUGUGGAGGAUGAACUGAGGGUGACUUGGAAUGGGUGGCUGCUCCACACAGAGCUGGGAGCUAAGCCUCCAAUGAGAAGUAGUUUCACCAGAGAAGCUAUGCCUUUCCAUCUGUUCCUAGGAUUUAGAUUCCUCAUGUUUUAUUGUGUUCGUAUUAUCAUACAGCUCUAUGUCUGGCACAGGUAUUAAAACGUCUGGGUGUGCAGGUUCCAUAAUCCUGCCUCUGGCUUCGUCUUUCUCGGGCUGCAGCACUUGGUUUGCUGCAUUUUUAUUGUUACCACUGUAAUUGUAUUGUGAGGGCUCUUGCUCCAGCUCUGGCUUGUUAAAUA